GUGUAGAAGUGUUUUGUAAGCACAUUGAUAAUGAUAUAUCUUUGAAACAUCUGAGUUAGAGAAUAAUAUGGAGUUUAUGCUUAAAAAUUAAACCUCAAGCCUCGUUUGACUAUAAAGGGUACCUCAGUUUAAGUAUGCAAAAUCCAAAGAUACGUUAUAUUCAAUAAAUCUAGUUGGAACUAGUGGACAAAUUUUUAGCUUUUAUGUCCAAGUGGG
rnacentral:lncRNA from 1 species